UGCAUGAGAUAUUAUAGUGGAAAUUCCACCCACAUGCAAUCAAUUGAAAUUCAACGCAUGUAAAGCUUAGAACCAUGCAUGAUGACAAACCCCAUAGACCAAGACUUGGCCAUGCAAUCACCAAGCUCCACCUCACCUCUUCCUUGACUUUCUCAAACAAAUAGAACAUCCAAGAAGCUCCUUACCUCUCCAUUUCCUACGGGUAAACACCCAAGUCUGAAAUUUCAGCUUAAUUUGCUCUCUUUUUCUCUCAAGGAAAGUGCUAGGAAGCUCCCUUGAAUCUUCCUCUCAAGUCCACUGGUUCACACACCAAAAGAAAGACAAAACCCCACCCAAAAGUCUUCCCCUUAUCUCAUUUUCUUGGCUGCACCAGACAGAAAGUCCAGCAGCAAGAAGGAAGCUUCUUUCAAGUCUCACAAGCUCUCUACCUCUCAUACUUUCUGGUCCAGCCACUAGGAAAAGAAAAUCCUUUCAUGUGUUACUAGUAUCCAAGUCUAAGCUUCUUUGACUUUAGGCUCUCGAUUCCUCUGCUUUCAGGUAAGGGAUAAGUUAUAUGGGCAUUUGGUAAGUCAUGAGGUUAUUUUAAAAUAUAUUAUGCAUUAAAAUGUUUUUGAUUAGAGAUAUGACAUAUAAUUAUUAUUCUGACAAAGAUAUGUUCGUGAGCUUUCAAAAAACUUAUGUAUAUGAUUUAACCAUAUUGAUGCUAUUAUUAAUUCCACGAACAUGAUGUUUAAAGAAAAGAAUGGAAAUGCUAUUAUUAUGAAAUGUUAUGCAAAAUUUUAGUAUGAUGUAAAGUAUGAAAUGUUUUCGAGUUAUGUCCUCUGGUAAUCUGAACUCAGCUAGUACCGGUUAAUUACUGGCUUUCCAUGGAAAAAUGUUAUAUGUUUAGUCAUUUAAAGUAGAGGAAAUGGGGUUGCCCGUAACUCAAGGCCAUUUAAAGUAGAGGAAAUGAGGUUGCCAGUAACUCUAAUCUAAAUAAGGCCUUCUCCCCAAUAUGUAUGGACGGCGGGGAGGAACAAAAUCUGGAGGGGAUGUGCCAUCAGGCCUCCCAAAGGGGACAAUAUCAUACACAUGGGGGCACCCAAAUGUGAUGAGGCCUUCUCUGUACAGACUUAUCAGAUAUAGACUAACCAAUAAGUUAUUUAUGAACAACUAUAUUAUGUUAUUAAUCAUGAGAGAAUGAUUUUUGUUUAAAUACAUUAUGAAAAGUUAAAAGCUCUCAUGAAAAGAAGUUUCUGAUAAAGAGAAAAGCUGUUCAUUAAAGACAAAAGUUUCUGAAGUUCUGUUGUACUAUAAAGAUACAGCUUCUAAUGAAAGUACAAAUUUACGUUUAAAAAUUAUCAGAUAUCUAUUUUUAUGAAACGUUAAGUUUUAUGAUCAUGAAAGUUAUAGUAUUCUAUGAGAAGAAGUUUAUAAAGAAA